rnacentral:rRNA from 1 species
AGUGAACGCUGGCGGUAGGCCUAACACAUGCAAGUCGAACGGCAGCACAGUAAGAGCUUGCUCUUACGGGUGGCGAGUGGCGGACGGGUGAGGAAUACAUCGGAAUCUACUUUUUCGUGGGGGAUAACGUAGGGAAACUUACGCUAAUACCUCAUACUACCUACGGGUGAAAUCAGGGGAUCUUCGGACCUUGCGCGAUUGAAUGAGCCGAUGUCGGAUUAGCUAGUUGGCGGGGUAAAGGCCCACCAAGGCGACGAUCCGUAGCUGGUCUGAGAGGAUGAUCAGCCACACUGGAACUGAGACACGGUCCAGACUCCUACGGGAGGCAGCAGUGGGGAAUAUUGGACAAUGGGCGAAAGCCUGAUCCAGCCAUACCGCGUGAGUGAAGAAGGCCUUCGGGUUGUAAAGCCCUUUUGUUGGGAAAGAAAAGCAGCAGGUUAAUACCCCGCUGUUCUGACGGUACCCAAAGAAUAAGCACCGGCUAACUUCGUG